rnacentral:misc_RNA from 1 species
GAUGAAGAACGCAGCGAAAUGCGAUAAGUAAUGUGAAUUGCAGAAUUCAGUGAAUCAUCGAAUCUUUGAACGCACAUUGCGCCCCCUGGUAUUCCGGGGGGCAUGCCUGUUCGAGCGUCAUUUCACCACUCAAGCCUCGCUUGGUAUUGGGCAACGCGGUCCGCCGCGUGCCUCAAAUCGACCGGCUGGGUCUUCUGUCCCCUAAGCGUUGUGGAAACUUUCGCUAAAGGGUGUUCGGGAGGCUACGCCGUAAAACAACCCCAUUUCUAAGGUUGACCUCGGAUCAGGUAGGGAUACCCACUGAACUUAAGCAUAUCAAUAAGCGGAGGA